GGCAAGGUGGCCGAGUGGUUAAGGCGCCAGAUUUAGGCUCUGGUGGGUAACCGCGCGAGUUCGAAUCUCGUCCUUGUCA